CGGACGGGUGAGUAMCGCGUGAGAAUCUACCCUUAGGAGGGGAAUAACAGCUGGAAACGGCUGCUAAGACCCCAUAUGCCGAGAGGUGAAAAAGAUUUCUGCCUAAGGAAGAGCUCGCGGCUGAUUAGCUAGUUGGUAGGAUAAAAGACUACCAAGGCAACGAUCAGUAGCUGGUUUGAGAGGACGAUCAGCCACACUGGGACUGAGACACGGCCCAGACUCCUACGGGAGGCAGCAGUGGGGAAUCUUCUGCAAUGGGCGAAAGCCUGACWGAGCAAUACCGCGUGAGGGAUAAAAGCCUGAGGGUCGUAAACCUCUUUUUUCAGGGAAGAAAUUUGACGGUACCUGAAGAAUAAGCAUCGGCUAACUCCGUGCCAGCAGCCGCGGUAAUACGGAGGAUGCAAGCGUUAUCCGGAAUCACUGGGCGUAAAGCGUCUGUAGGUGGUUUUUCAAGUCUGCUGUUAAAGACUGAGGCUUAACCUCASAAAAGCAGUGGAAACUGACAAGCUAGAGCAUGGUAGGGGUAAAGGGAAUUCCCAGUGUAGCGGUGAAAUGCGUAGAUAUUGGGAAGAACACCUGUGGCGAAAGCGCUUUACUGGACCAUUGCUGACACUGAGAGACGAAAGCUAGGGYAGCAAAUGGGAUUAGAUACCCCAGUAGUCA
rnacentral:rRNA from 1 species